CUUGAAAUCAAUUGAUGCCAACUGGCAGCCACACGAAAAGUGUUUGCUUGAAUGUAAACUGCAACGUGACGCAAACUGCGUGCGUGCUGCAAAGUCCUGCAAUGAUGAGGUUUGAGCUAUUUCCUGUUCACGGGUGAUGGAAGUCAUGCAGACCACCGAGCGUGUGGCGCACUACAACACCACGACGUCCUUGGCUGCACCAUGCAUUGCAUGAAUGGAGGUAGGAGAACCCAUCCAGGAUAAUAUGUUGUAUAUAUUUUUAUACUGUGUAUGUAUAUACACAGCGGCCACAUCAUUAGGUACACCAUCUAAUGAGAUCCAAUCCAAACAUUCAGUCUUUACAAAAAUAAUAAUGCCCAAUUUGACGGACACACAUUUAACAAUAUGUUUAUUAUUGCGCUUGUAGUGUGCACAUCGCACUGACUGCUCUUUCUAAUAUUUUGGCCCUCAAAUAUGGUCACCUUUUAUCUCCUAGACUCAUGCAACCAUGCUGGGCCGCAUUACAUUUGGACUAUUUAUGCUUUUAUACAAAUAAAUGAUCCAAUGUUGCUUUAAGACACUCGAUUGUGAAUGGAUUAUUGCAAUAACAAUGUCGCUAGCUUACUUUUAUAUUGCAGAAAUAAAUGUAAAAAUACUUCCCAAGGAAGAUUUUAGAAUUCAGGAGGGUUUUUUUCUUUGUUCCUUUUUUGCACUCUCGCAUUUUUAAGGCUUCCCAAGGUAAGACCUGAGUGCAGUAUAUUUAUUAAUUCUGUAUUAUCUUUUUACAGUAUUCGUUUAAAUAAAAUAUUAUAAAUAUUACAUAAUAGUGCCUGUUAUUAUGAUUAUAUUAUUUGUAUAGUGCUUUUGAAAGUUCAGAUUAUUUUCAUGUUAAUGUCUGUUGUUGUGUCCUCACUGUGUGAUAAACAAAAGAAGUCGUUUUUACGUCCCACUAUAUAAAUGGUUUAGUGUCAUUUUAUAAUAUAGACAUAAAUAAAAUUUAAUUUGCAUUUUGUAAACAUCUGUUUUCCUCAGAGUGCUUGGUUGCACUGACGUUGUGCUCUGUGGCUUUGUUUGUUUCCGUGUGCCUCAACCUUGCUUUCUGCGUCACACGACGAGCGUCUCUGUGGAGAGAAAGCUGCUGCUGUCCAAAGAAAGGUGCAGCACCGAGGCCCUCACAGAACAGAGGUGGUUAUGUUGGUCACCUCCACGGAGAAAAGGCUAAGCAGGAGAGAUGGGAGAAUCCAAUCUAUGGCAACAUCCAUGUGCACAAAGGUUGUGACACUUUAAAAGAGUCUCACUUGGACCCUUGUUUGAAUUCAUCACUGCAGCUGCAAAAUCAGUCCUCACAGGACCUCAACUACGCCUUUCUGGACCUGAAGGCGGCAGUACAGCGAAAAAAGAAGCUCCGAGGCGACCAGCUGCAGGUGAUGGAAGUCUACCUGAACAGCGAGCAGGUGGCUGAGGAGAGGCAGGACACCAUGGAGAGGGGGGACAUGGACGGGAGGGUGGAGAACUCGUCGUGAGAGUCCACAGCAUCCAGUGGGUUUCACACCAAAAAGCUGAGUAGCCCACCAACAUUUUAAAGUGCAUGCAGAGCUAGAUAAACUUGCACAGUAGUUCAAAUGCAGCUAUUGCCAUCUUGUGGAGUUGAUAAAAAAAAUGACACCAGGAGGUUGUCUACAGCCACAGCUGUUAAUGCCAUUGUUUGUUGUUUUACCAGCCUGCGGUGGCUAUUUGCUCUUGUAGACCACACACACGGUGACUAUAGGAGACUCUGCUUUGAAUUGGAGCAUUGACAGUAUUCUUGUAUGUUGGUCUCUUCAGAUUAAAUGCAAUUUGCUGUUUUGCACGUACACAUGUGCUUUUGUCUUCAACCAAGUUGAAUCCGUAUCUGAUCCAGAUCUGGCAACGUAACGUAAAUGCAAUAAUCAAUAUGUUGACAUCAGAUCAGAUUGUUAUUUAAAGCGUUACGUAGGAUCCUAUAGUUCAUCAAAAAGUAGAAUACAAAAGUCUGCUCAUUUUUUUGUUUUAAGUUAGAAUCUUAGAAACUACAAAAAACAACAAACAAAAAACUGCAACUGUGUGUAUAUUUAUUCUGUGGAGUUCAUA